CACUGACAUUAGAUACCCGGGUAGUCCAGGGUGUAAACGCUGCAGACUUGGUGUUGGGGGCCCUUUGGGGGCAUUCAGUGCCGGAGAGAAGUUGUUAAGUCUGCUACUUGGGGAGUACGUCCGCAAGGAUGAAACUUAAAGGAAUUGGCGGGGGAGCACCGCAACGGGAGGAGCGUGCGGUUUAAUUGGAUUCAACACCGUAAACUCACCAGGGAAGACUGUUACAUGAAGGCCGAGAUGAAGACUCUGCUAGAUUUUC
rnacentral:rRNA from 1 species